AGGGCAGGAGGAAACGUUCCGGGCCUUGUACACACCGCCCGUCACACCAUGAGAGUUUGUAACACCCAAAGUCGGUGGGGUAACCUUUUAGGAGCCAGCCGCCUAAGGUGGGACAGAUGAUUAGGGUGAAGUCGUAACAAGGUAGCCGUAGGAGAACCUGCGGCUGGAUCACCUCCUUUCUAAGGAAUUAAUCGGGAACCCACACCUUGUCGAAACAAUGUUCAGUUUUGAGGG
rnacentral:misc_RNA from 1 species